rnacentral:lncRNA from 1 species
GUUCGAGCCCCACCUGCUUUGUCUCCCACCGCCAGCCUAUGGAGGUUCCCUCUCUGGUCCUCCGUGUCCCACGGGUAAAAUGGACGUAGCGUGUCUAAUUGCGCAUGUUCCCGCAGUGAUGUGAGGGACUGAAGGGCUUUGAACGCUGUCGUAAGGGAAGGCGCCUGGGGCACUGACUUCGUCCCCUUUUCCCAGUUCCUGCUCAGAGCCACUCUCCCAGGCCCCCGGCCCCUAACCGUAUCCCAGCCCUCCGAUCAGCCUUUGCCUACUGAGGGCAAAACUACGGGGUACAAGCACAGGGACUGCGACGUCGCCCCAUUGCCUCUGUCUUCCAUUUCCCCUGCUUGGUCCUAAACCCGGAGACGGGGCCCUGUGCCCACUGGCGGGGCGCUCCCGGGUUCGGACGCGGCGCGGGUCACAAAGCGCGUUCCGCCCUGGAACGCCCGGAGGAGAUAAAAGCCGCGCAGGCCCCGCACUCGCCGCGCACUCCGGCCGUUCCGACGAGAGAGCGCUGCACGCGUGAAAAUGACUCGAAAGCUGCCCCGCAUCUCCGCCCCCAGCCCCGGCGCCCGCUCGGCGCCACCCUGCAGCGCCCUGGCCGUCGGCUCUUCUUUCCUCCCAUCCGUCCUCCGUUUCUGGACCCGCACACCACGCUCCUGUUCCAUCCCACCUACUCGUCCUUCUGCCCCAUCUGCUACCCGUCUCUGAACCAGUUCGUGCCCGUCCACUACCCCGUCGUGGGCAUCGCCCUGCCGACCUCUUCGUGCGUGCAUCUUCAGAAGGGCUGCAUCUGCCGCCCGCACGUCCGCUGGGGCCCCGACUUCCACUACAUCCCUCCCUAUCCCCCCACGCCCCCGCCCAGCCCCUGCUUCUAGAGCCUGCCUGCAGCCCGCCCCCGCCCCCAGCCACCCACGCGGCCUGACGAUCCACGACCCCACGGAGAGGCCCCUGCAGGGACCGUGCUCGGGCAGCGAAGGAGCGGACCCCGCUGCAGGGGCCUCUCCGUGGGGUCGUGGAUCGUCAGGCCGCGUGGGUGGCUGGGGCCGGGGGCGGGCUGCAGGCAGGCUCUAGAAGCAGGGGCUGGGCGGGGGCGUGGGGGGAUAGGGAGGGAUGUAGUGGAAGUCGGGGCCCCAGCGGACGUGCGGGCGGCAGAUGCAGCCCUUCUGAAGAUGCACGCACGAAGAGGUCGGCAGGGCGAUGCCCACGACGGGGUAGUGGACGGGCACGAACUGGUUCAGAGACGGGUAGCAGAUGGGGCAGAAGGACGAGUAGGUGGGAUGGAACAGGAGCGUGGUGUGCGGGUCCAGAAACGGAGGACGGAUGGGAGGAAAGAAGAGCCGACGGCCAGGGCGCUGCGGGGUGGCGCCGAGCGGGCGCCGGGGCUGGGGGCGGAGAUGCGGGGCAGCUUUCGAGUCAUUUUCACGCGUGCAGCGCUCUCUCGUCGGAACGGCCGGAGUGCGCGGCGAGUGCGGGGCCUGCGCGGCUUUUAUCUCCUCCGGGCGUUCCAGGGCUGAACGCGCUUUGUGACCCGAGCCGCGUCCGAACCCGGGAGCGCCCCGCCAGUCGGCACAGGGCCCCGUCUCCGGGUUUAGGACCAAGCAGGGGAAAUGGAAGACAGAGGCAAUGGGGCGACGUCGCAGUCCCUGUGCUUGUACCCCGUAGUUUUGCCCUCAGUAGGCAAAGGCUGAUCGGAGGGCUGGGAUACGGUUAGGGGCCGGGGACCUGGGAGAGCGGCUCUGAGCAGGAACUGGGAAAAGGGGACGAAGUCAGUGCCCCAGGCCCCUUCCCUUAGGACAGUGUUCAAAGCCCUUCAGUCCCUCACAUCACUGCGGGAACAUGCGCAAUUAGACACGCUACGUCCAUUUUACCCGUGGGACACGGAGGACCAGAGAGGGAACCUCCAUAGGCUGGCGGUGGGAGACAAAGCACGUGGGGCUCGAACCUGUGGCAGCAGAGGGCAGGUAGGAGGGAAGCAAAACGGCCCAAGCUCGCACCAGCGGCUGCUCCUGCGUGUGUGUGUGGACGGGAUCCUGCAGGGGGUGCGGCAGAGCAGACCUGGGCGUGUCCUAGCUUACCCUUGGCCCUGUGUUCCUUGGUGUGAUGCUUUAUUUUUAACUAGAACCAGAAACGUUGAGUCACAGCCGGUGGAUGGCUUACCCACUCCUGAGCGCCUAAUAACUGGAUUUGGACUUCCUUGCUCCCUACCUGAGAUGCCUCCCUCCCUGCCAGAUGAUUAAGGAGGCUGCACUUUUGUCUGAUGCAGAAACCCUCUCUGCUGAACUUUACUGGUUUCUUUGAUCACCACCCAAAGCAUAAGCCCCUUUUCUCUCCUAUUCUCAACCAUACUUGAUCACUGAGGACCAAGCUCCAAUUUUUUUAUCUUACCCAAAUUCCUACCUAAGGGGUCUAGCGAUUCAUGCCCUACAAACCUUAAAUUGUCAUCAGAUGGAUUUUAUUUAACCCUGUAUAUUGUGACUUUUCUUUUUCUUUCUUUCUUUCUUUCUUUUUUUUUUUUGAAAUGGAUUCUCACUCUCACCCAGGCUGGAGCGCAGUGUUGCGAUCUCGGCUCACUGCAAGCUCCGCCUCCCGGGUUUACACCAUUCUCCUGCCUCAGCCUCCGGAGUAGCUGGGACUACAGCGCCGCCACCACGCCCGGCUGAUUUUUUGUAUUUUUAGUAGAGACGGGGUGUCACUGUUAGCCAGGAUGGUCUCGAUCUCCUGACCUCGUGAUCCGCCCGCCUCGGCCUCCCAAAGUGCUGGGAUUACAGGCGUGAGCCACCGCGCCCGGCCAGUCCCGCCAUUUCUAAACCAAAUCAAUGUAUUUCUUAAAUGUAAUUAAUGUCUCAUGCCUUCCUAAAACGUAUAAAACCAAGCUGUACCCCAAGCA